UACAGAGGGGGCAAGCGUUGUUCGGAAUUACUGGGCGUAAAGGGCGCGUAGGCGGCCUUCUAAGUCGAACGUGAAAUCCCCGGGCUCAACCCGGGAACUGCGUCCGAUACUGGAAGGCUUGAAUCCGGGAGAGGGAUGCGGAAUUCCAGGUGUAGCGGUGAAAUGCGUAGAUAUCGGGAGGAACACCAGAGGCGAAGGCGGCGAACUGGACAGUAACUGACACUCAACUGCGAAAGCGUGGGGAGCAAACAGG
rnacentral:rRNA from 1 species